rnacentral:rRNA from 1 species
UAGAGGGUGAGAAUCCCGUAGCCGAAAAUGUGACGACUGUUGAUAUGGACACCCAAGUAGCAGCGGGCCCGUGAAAUCUGCUGUGAAUCUGUCGGGACCACCCGAUAAGCCUGAAUACUCCCUGGUGACCGAUAGCGGACUAGUACCGUGAGGGAAAGGUGAAAAGAACCGGGAAUACCGGAGUGAAAAGAACCUGAAACCGUGUG